UUCUAGGGUUUUAGUGUUAGGGUUGAAGAACAGAGAGGAGAUAAUAGGAGAGAAGGGGAGAGAGUUGAAAGUUCAAGAAAUGUGGGGGGUUGGGUUGCUUUAAUUUUUUUUUUGGGGGGGGGGGGGCACUACUACAAAAAAGAGCAAACAUAACACUCCUAAACUAACUCUUAUUUAAGCAACUGUUAUGUAAAGUCUAAAUUUAACGUUUUAAGCGUAGAACUGUUAUCUUAGGUUGUAUUGAUAAUAUAUCACUUAAAAUUUGUCUUAAGGUGUGUUAUCUUUGCUAUGAAAUUAUUAUGUGAUGCUUUGAUUUUUUUAUGAGAAUAAUAAAAACUGUUAUCUUUGCUUAUUAUUAAUAAUUAUAAAUCUGUCGUAAUAAUUAAAUUGAAAAAAAAAACUGUUAUAGCCAAAAAUUAGGAGCACUUACUAUAUUUUCUUGAAUUUUUGCUUUAAACCCGCCUUUUUUAAGUUUUUAAGUUGCUAUAACCCUUUUUGGUAGGGUUUUUUUCGCCUCUCCAAAAAAAAAAAAAAAAAACUACCAUUAAACUCUCUCUCUAAUUUCUCGUUGCUCGUUUUUUCUUCAAAUUUCUUCUCUUAAUAAUGGCGGCAGUGGAAAUUAUGGAACCAGUAUCAGUUACUACCGAAUCGUUUCAAGCUGAUGUAAAACUCUUCAACCAGUAUCAGUUCACUCUCUAUUCUCUGUCUCUCUCAGUUCCCCUCGUAAGUUGGCGUCGGUCGCCUCCAGUCAUUGGUUGUCAUCGGCUUCCAGGACCCUAGAUUGCUAGAAGAGCAACGAAGAAAGCCUUUUUUUUAUUUUAUUAUUAUCAGUUGGAGUUAUUUCAACAGGAGGGAGAUGAUCUUAGAGUGAGACAGUCGUCUACAAUUGCAGAUUCGAUAUAUGUUUUACUUAAAUAUAUAGGUAAUUAACCGGGAUCUUUUAGAUGUAAGAGGUUGCAUGAGAACUAGGAACAAAGUGGAAGUACUUGAUUUAUAGUUUUACUCACAAUAUAGGAAAAUAGGUAGAAAAUUAGAGUGGAAGCAGCCCCCAACCAAGCUUUCUCUAUGAUGACUCCAGAAGCCUUACAGAGUUGAAGGGAAAAGAAUGGUUUUUUAUGUUGCUAGGUAAUAAGGUGAAUUGACGCCAAAUUUUGACAUCUAAAGCAAACCUUGGAGGUACAUAAAAGAGAGAUCAACAACGUGCACAAAAAAAUCUGAAACCAGAAGUUUUGGUUGAGUAAUUUAUUUUACCUUUCAUUAGCUUUAAUAUUUGCAUGAAAAGUCCCUAAAGGUGUAUUACUUCAAUGUAGGUUUGAGAUGAGCCCAUCCGUGUAAUUUCGACAUCAAUUAUCAUCCCUCUACUUAGUUAAAGCUCUUCUGCAAAUAAAGUGCCCUCGCCAACCGCUUGGUACUCUAGAUUGUGGAUAUUAUGUAUGUCGUUACAUGUUUGAGACGGUAUAGUUGAGACGACUAGUUAUUCCAGAUAAGUACUAUCAAGGUAUUGGUUCAACCUAUUCUCAGGAGAAAAUUGAUGGGAGUUGUGGAUUACAUACGUCGGAGAUCAACAUGAAGCACAAAUGAUGAACGAGCUCUAACUUUCCGCCUAAUUUUUUUUUAAUCUUAAUCCACUUUUGGACAUGCAUUAUAUUUUUGGAUUUGGAUAUUGAUAUCAUGUGGAUGUGACUAUAGGCUAUAUUUGAUCUUGUUUAUCAUUUAGAUUAAUAUUGAUAUGUAUAUAUAGUUGUUCUUUUUAGAAGUUUAGAAUUAUGAAUAUUAGUUGAAUUAUUUUGGGAUAUAAAAAAUUUUGGAAGUUUGGAA